AUUGAACGCUGGCGGCAGGCCUAACACAUGCAAGUCGAGCGAGCGGCGGACGGGUGAGUAGUGUAUGGGGAUCUGCCCGAUAGAGGGGGAUAACUACUGGAAACGGUGGCUAAUACCGCAUACUACCCGAAGAAUCCCUAUGGGAUUAGGUAGUUGGUGGGGUAAACGCUCACCUAGGCGACGAUCCCCAGCUGGUCUGAGAGGAUGAUCAGCCACACUGGAACUGAGACACGGUCCAGACUCCUACGGGAGGCAGCAGUGGGGAAUAUUGCACAAUGGGCGCAAGCCUGAUGCAGCCAUGCCGCGUGUAUGAAGAAGGCCUUCGGGUUGUAAAGUACUUUCAGCGGGGAGGCGUUACCCGCAGAAGAAGCACCGGCUAACUCCGUGCCAGCCGCCGCGGUAAUAC
rnacentral:rRNA from 1 species